GGGGUCGAUGGCGUGGCGGAGCGCCCAUUUCGAGUAUUGGCUCGAUCGGGCGUUGGAGGCGAUCUCGUCUCCA
rnacentral:tRNA from 1 species